rnacentral:pre_miRNA from 1 species
ACUCAGGACUUCCAGGUAAGGAGCCGCUGCUGUUCUCUUGGUCCUCUGUUCUCUCUUUAUAAGCAAAAGGCACAGGACAGGAUCUCUGCUGGAAGUGACCGGGGAAAGAACGAGUUCAAGUGCUAGGUCAGCAGAGGACCCAGCCAUGGAGACUACGGAGCAAGGAGCUCUCAGCAUCAACGGUGUACAGGAGAAUGACCUAUGAUUUGACAGACCGUGCAGCUGUGUAUGUCUGUCAUUCUGUAGGCCAAUAUUCUGUAUGUCACUGCUACUUAAAAUCCGGACAUCGGCAAACACCCUCUGAAGCGCUGUGCAGCAGAUCACGGGAGAGUCUGUAGCAUAGCAAGAGAAUGUGCUGACAAAAUAAAAUGAGUGCUUCUGUGUACCUG